rnacentral:rRNA from 1 species
AACGGCCAUACCAUGCUGAAUAUACCGGUUCUCGUUAGAUCACCGAAGUCAAGCAUCAUUGGGCGCGGUCAGUACCCAGUGGGUGGCCACCUGGGAACACCGCGUGCCGUUG